rnacentral:rRNA from 1 species
AUCUGCCUACGGGGCGCAGCAGUCGGGAAUAUUGCGCAAUGGAGGAAACUCUGACGCAGUGACGCCGCGUGCAGGAAGAAGGUUUUCGGAUUGUAAACUGCUUUAGACAGGGAAGAAACAAGACAGUACCUGUAGAAUAAGCUCCGGCUAACUACGUGCCAGCAGCCGCGGUAAUACGUAGGGAGCAAGCGUUGUCCGGAUUUACUGGGUGUAAAGGGUGCGUAGGCGGCUGUGCAAGUCAGUAGUGAAAUCCAUGGGCUUAACCCAUGAACUGCUAUUGAAACUGCACGGCUUGAGUGAAGUAG